GACGAACGCUGGCGGCGUGCUUAACACAUGCAAGUCGAACGCUGAAGACCUGGCUUUUGUUGGGUUGGAUGAGUGGCGAACGGGUGAGUAACACGUGAGUAACCUGCCCUCUUCUUUGGGAUAACGCCCGGAAACGGGUGCUAAUACUGGAUAUUCACUGAUCUUCGCAUGGGGGUUGGUGGAAAGGUUUGUUCUGGUGGGGGAUGGGCUCGCGGCCUAUCAGCUUGUUGGUGGGGUGAUGGCCUACCAAGGCUUUGACGGGUAGCCGGCCUGAGAGGGUGACCGGUCACAUUGGGACUGAGAUACGGCCCAGACUCCUACGGGAGGCAGCAGUGGGGAAUAUUGCACAAUGGGCGAAAGCCUGAUGCAGCGGCGCCGCGUGAGGGAUGGAGGCCUUCGGGGUGGAAACCUCUUUCGCUCAUGGUCAAGCCGCAACUGUGGGUUGUGGUGAGGGUAGUGGGUAAAGAAGCGCCGGCUAACUACGUG
rnacentral:rRNA from 1 species